rnacentral:RNase_P_RNA from 13 species
UCAGUUACAAUCUAGCAUCUGGGGCACACACAACGAGUAUCUGAUUACUCUAUAAAAGCCCCGGGAAGGUCUGAGAAUUGGUCAAAGCUCCCUUGUUUGUGUGCACAACAAGCGAUUUGCUGUUAAAGGUGAUCGUUUGUCGCGGAGUUUCAUUUCCCAGCAGGAAACCUGUGUGAUCGCAGGGCGAAAGUACCAGAAAUCCUGCCUCGCUGCUGUUAUUGUUAUUGUUGUUGUUGCCAACGACGAUGACGACGACGCGCGUUGCAUUGAAAUCUUUCGUGACCAGCAAUUUUAGUGCGAUGUGCUUGCUGCAAAUCCCUCCUCGGAGGUGGUGCGCAGAACUCAAUUCAGACUAAUCUGUGACUGA